GAUGAACGCUGGCGGCGUGCCUAAUACACGCAAGUCGAGCGAAUGGAUUAAGAGCUUGCUCUUAUGAAGUUAGCGGCGGACGGGUGAGUAACACGUGGGUAACCUGCCCAUAAGACUGGGAUAACUCCGGGAAACCGGGGCUAAUACCGGAUAACAUUUUGAACCGCAUGGUUCGAAAUUGAAAGGCGGCUUCGGCUGUCACUUAUGGAUGGACCCGCGUCGCAUUAGCUAGUUGGUGAGGUAACGGCUCACCAAGGCAACGAUGCGUAGCCGACCUGAGAGGGUGAGCGGCCACACUGGGACUGAGACACGGCCCAGACUCCUACGGGAGGUAGCAGUAGGGAAUCUUCCGCAAUGGACGAAAGUCUGACGGAGCAACGCCGCGUGAGUGAUGAAGGCUUUCGGGUCGUAAAACUCUGUUGUUAGGGAAGAACAAGUGCUAGUUGAAUAAGCUGGCACCUUGACGGUACCUAACCAGAAAGCCACGGCUAACUACGUGCCAGCAGCCGCAGUAA
rnacentral:rRNA from 1 species